UACGUAGGGUGCGAGCGUUGCCCGGAUUUAUUGGGCGUAAAGGGCGCGUAGGCGGCUCUGCACGUCCGUUGUGAAAUCGCCCGGCUCAACUGGGCGGGUCAGCGGAUACGGCAGAGCUCGAGCAAGCUAGGGGCAAGUGGAAUUCCCGGUGGUAGUGGUGGAAUGCGUAGAUAUCGGGAGGAACACCAGUGGCGAAGGCGACUACCUGGCCUGUUCUUGACGCUGAGGCGCGAAAGCUAGGGAGCACAGGG
rnacentral:rRNA from 1 species